UACGAGGGGGGCGAGCGUUGUUCGGAAUUAUUGGGCGUAAAGGGUGCGUAGGCGGUUUGGUAAGUCUUGUGUGAAAUCUACAGGCUCAACUUGUAGUCUGCACGAGAAACUGCCGGGCUUGAGUGUGGGAGAGGUGAGUGGAAUUCCUGGUGUAGCGGUGAAAUGCGUAGAUAUCAGGAGGAACACCGGUGGCGAAGGCGGUUCUCUGGGCCUGUACUGACGCUGAGGAGCGAAAGCGAGGGGAGCGAACAGG
rnacentral:rRNA from 1 species